UACGGGGGGGGCAAGCGUUGUUCGGAAUUACUGGGCUUAAAGAGUUCGUAGGCGGCAUUACAAGUAGGGUGUGAAAGCCCUCGGCUCAACCGAGGAAUUGCGCUCUAAACUGUCGUGCUAGAGGAACCUAGAGGUGAGCAGAACAGAUGGUGGAGCGGUGAAAUGCGUUGAUAUCAUCUGGAAUACCGGAGGCGAAGGCGGCUCACUGGGGGUUUUCUGACGCUGAGGAACGAAAGCCAGGGUAGCGAACGGG
rnacentral:rRNA from 1 species